UACGUAGGUCCCGAGCGUUCCGGAUUUAUUGGGCGUAAAGCGAGCGCAGGUGGUUUAUUAAGUCCGGUGUAAAAGGCAGUGGCUCAACCAUUGUAUGCAUUGGAAACUGGUAGACUUGAGUGCAGGAGAGGAGAGUGGAAUUCCAUGUGUAGCGGUGAAAUGCGUAGAUAUAUGGAGGAACACCGGUGGCGAAAGCGGCUCUCUGGCCUGUAACUGACACUAAGGCUCGAAAGCGUGGGGAGCAAACAGG
rnacentral:rRNA from 1 species